UACGUAGGGUGCAAGCGUUAAUCGGAAUUACUGGGCGUAAAGCGUGCGCAGGCGGUCCGCUAAGACAGAUGUGAAAUCCCCGGGCUUAACCUGGGAACUGCAUUUGAGACUGGCGGGCUAGAGUAUGGCAGAGGGGGGUAGAAUUCCACGUGUAGCAGUGAAAUGCGUAGAGAUGUGGAGGAAUACCGAUGGCGAAGGCAGCCCCCUGGGCCAAUACUGACGCUCAUGCACGAAAGCGUGGGGAGCAAACAGG
rnacentral:rRNA from 1 species